rnacentral:ncRNA from 2 species
UUAUCAUAAAUUAAUACAACCUGUAUAACCUCAGAAUAUGGCUUGGGGGGGUCUCUACCAGGAACCUUAAAAUCCUGAUUACAGAAAAUGAACUAAUCAUU